rnacentral:sRNA from 1 species
GCUGGGCGCGAUGGCACAUGCCUGUAAUCCCAGCAGCUCAGGAGGCUGAGGCAGGAGGAUUGUGAGUUCAAAGCCAGCCUCAGCAAAAAGUAAGGUGCUGAGCAACUUCGUGAAACCCUGUCUCUA